GGCGAACGGGUGAGUAACACGCGAGUAACCUGCCCUUGACUUUGGGAUAACUUCAGGAAACUGGGGCUAAUAUCGGAUAGGAGCUCCUGCUGCAUGGUGGGGGUUGGAAAGUUUCGGCGGUUGGGGAUGGACUCGCGGCUUAUCAGCUUGUUGGUGGGGUAGUGGCUUACCAAGGCUUUGACGGGUAGCCGGCCUGAGAGGGUGACCGGCCACAUUGGGACUGAGAUACGGCCCAG
rnacentral:rRNA from 1 species